rnacentral:rRNA from 1 species
AAGUCGAGCGGACCGACGGGAGCUUGCUCCCUUAGGUCAGCGGCGGACGGGUGAGUAACACGUGGGUAACCUGCCUGUAAGACUGGGAUAACUCCGGGAAACCGGGGCUAAUACCGGAUGCUUGAUUGAACCGCAUGGUUCAAUCAUAAAAGGUGGCUUUCAGCUACCACUUACAGAUGGACCCGCGGCGCAUUAGCUAGUUGGUGAGGUAACGGCUCACCAAGGCGACGAUGCGUAGCCAACCUGAGAGGGUGGUCGGCCACACUGGGACUGAGACACGGCCCAGACUCCUACGGGAGGCAGCAGUAGGGAAUCUUCCGCAAUGGACGAAAGUCUGACGGAGCAACGCCGCGUGAGUGAUGAAGGUUUUCGGAUCGUAAAACUCUGUUGUUAGGGAAGAACAAGUACCGUUCGAAUAGGGCGGCACCUUGACGGUACCUAACCAGAAAGCCACGGCUAACUACGUGCCAGCAGCCGCGGUAAUACGUAGGUGGCAAGCGUUGUCCGGAAUUAUUGGGCGUAAAGCGCGCGCAGGCGGUUUCUUAAGUCUGAUGUGAAAGCCCCCGGCUCAACCGGGGAGGGUCAUUGGAAACUGGGGAACUUGAGUGCAGAAGAGGAGAGUGGAAUUCCACGUGUAGCGGUGAAAUGCGUAGAGAUGUGGAGGAACACCAGUGGCGAAGGCGACUCUCUGGUCUGUAACUGACGCUGAGGCGCGAAGCGUGGGGAGCGAACAGG